rfam:Salmo salar isolate Sally breed double haploid chromosome ssa05, whole genome shotgun sequence.
UGCAUUCACUACUGUAAGUCGCUUUGGAUUAGAGUGUCUGCUAAAUGACUAAAA